AAGCGGCAACAGCUCAAAUUUGAAAUCUGGCGCAAGCCCGAGUUGUAAUUUGUAGAGGAUGCUUCUAGGUUGCGGCCGGUCUAAGUUCCUUGGAACAGGACGUCACAGAGGGUGAGAAUCCCGUAUGUGACCGGCUUGCACCUUCUACGUAGCUCCUUCGACGAGUCGAGUUGUUUGGGAAUGCAGCUCUAAAUGGGAGGUAAAUGUCUUCUAAAGCUAAAUACCGGCCAGAGACCGAUAGCGCACAAGUAGAGUGAUCGAAAGAUGAAAAGCACUUUGGAAAGAGAGUUAAAAAGCACGUGAAAUUGUUGAAAGGGAAGCGCAUGCAACCAGACUUGUCGGCGGUGUUCCGCCGGUCUUCUGACCGGUCUACUCGCCGCCGACAGGCCAGCAUCGUCUGGGGGCGCCGGAGAAAGGUGCCAGGAAUGUAGCUCCUCGGAGUGUUAUAGCCUGGCACACAAUACGGUGACUCCCGGGCGAGGUCCGCGCUUCGGCUAGGAUGCUGGCGUAAUGGUUGCCUGCGACCCGUCUUGAAACACGGACCAAGGAGUCGACCAUCUGUGCGAGUGUUCGGGUGUUAAACCCCUACGCGUAAUGAAAGUGAACGGAGGUGGGAACGCAAGUGCACCAUCGACCGAUCCUGAUGUCCUCGGAUGGAUUUGAGUAAGAGCAUAGCUGGUCGGACCCGAAAGAUGGUGAACUAUGCCUGAAUAGGGUGAAGCCAGAGGAAACUCUGGUGGA
rnacentral:rRNA from 1 species